rnacentral:misc_RNA from 1 species
UCUUUGGAUGCAAAUGAAAGGUACCAAGAUGGGAAGAAUAGAGAAUUGAGUGAUAGCAAGGAUUGGGACCUUUCAUUUGCAUCCAAAGAUUGCCCUCGCACAAUCCUGCCAAAUUUCCUGUUUGCUUUAAUGCCACUUGGAUGAACAUCUCCACAGAUAUCUGUAGGAUUCUUAGGUGGCUCUUGACUAAGAGAGGGACUUGCAGAAAGGGCUUUUGGUCGGUUUUCAACCGUUUUCAUUUUCCUGGAAGCAAUU